AUUGAACGCUGGCGGCAGGCUUAACACAUGCAAGUCGAGCGGGGGAGGUUGCUUCGGUAACUGACCUAGCGGCGGACGGGUGAGUAAUGCUUAGGAAUCUGCCUAUUAGUGGGGGACAACAUCUCGAAAGGGAUGCUAAUACCGCAUACGUCCUACGGGAGAAAGCAGGGGACCUUCGGGCCUUGCGCUAAUAGAUGAGCCUAAGUCGGAUUAGCUAGGUGGUGGGGUAAAGGCCUACCAAGGCGACGAUCUGUAGCGGGUCUGAGAGGAUGAUCCGCCACACUGGGAGUGGGACACGGCCCCGACUCCUACGGGAGGCAGCAGUGGGGAAUAUUGGACGAUGGGGGGAACCCUGAUCCAGCCAUGCCGCGUGUGUGAAGAAGGCCUUUUGGUUGUAAAGCACUUUAAGCGAGGAGGAGGCUACUGGUAUUAAUACUACCGGAUAGUGGACGUUACUCGCAGAAUAAGCACCGGCUAACUCUGUGCCAGCCGCCGCCGUAACAC
rnacentral:rRNA from 1 species